AUGAUACUUGUCAUAAGUAUUCAACAUAUAGUUCUGUGAAGUAUAGUUUAAGCAGGCUUUUGCCUUGACCUACUUCGGGAUUGCUCAGGGCGAUGUUGCUCGUGUAGUUAAUAAACUCUGGUGAAGGAAAUGCAACAACGGUCAUGUGAGAUCUUGCAAAAUCAAUUGCUUUGGAUGGCAAAUAGGCACCUACUUGAUAGAGGUAUGCAUAUUUUUACUAAUGUAAUUUUCCUAACUUUUGUCCAUUUAAUUUGCAAUAUUAUGCAUUUGUUUUUGUAAUUAAUAUUCUCUUCUACUUUAUAAAAAAAGUGAAUAAAUUCAACCAACUUAAGAAUAUCGUUCAUGUUUACAAAUUAUUAUCUCUCAAAUUUACACACACUUAAUUUUAACAAUAAUCAACUAACGUGCAACGCAUGUUCAAUCUACUAGUUUCUAAAGUUUCUUAUCUAGAAUAUUUACAAGGUUUAAUAAUUAGUUUGGUAUCAAGAAUUUCUAGUGGCAACUUGAAUUUAUUCUCUAGAAAUUUUCGAGAAACAUGCGUCUUUACUCUAUACAGUUGGCUGAAAAAAAAAAAGGGAAAAUGAAAAUCGAGAAUGUAAAAAAGAGGGGAAAAAAUGUUGGUAGCGAGCAUUUACAUAUCAAACAAUUUAAUCCAAUUGAGCUCAAGAAAAAAUAAAGAAACUUGAGAAUUGAUUCAUGUAAUUUUGCGCUGAUUUUUCUUAUAAAUAGAGAGUUGUCAUUAGAGUUUAAUAUAUUAUCAAUAGGGUGUGUGAUUUUUUUCUUGGAAUUUAUUUUUCAUUAUAGUGAAUUAUUGCGACGAAUAAUGAUGUAAUCUAACAUUGAGACAAAGAUUUG